rnacentral:rRNA from 1 species
AUUGAACGCUGGCGGCAUGCCUUACACAUGCAAGUCGAACGGUAACAGGUCUUUGGAUGCUGACGAGUGGCGAACGGGUGAGUAAUACAUCGGAACGUGCCUAGUAGUGGGGGAUAACUACUCGAAAGAGUGGCUAAUACCGCAUGAGAUCUACGGAUGAGAGCAGGGGAACGCAAGACCUUGUGCUACUAGAGCGGCCGAGGGCAGAUUAGGUAGUUGGUGGGAUAAAAGCUUACCAAGCCGACGAUCUGUAGCUGGUCUGAGAGGACGAUCAGCCACACUGGGACUGAGACACGGCCCAGACUCCUACGGGAGGCAGCAGUGGGGAAUUUUGGACAAUGGGCGCAAGCCUGAUCCAGCAAUGCCGCGUGCAGGAUGAAGGCCUUCGGGUUGUAAACUGCUUUUGUACGGAACGAAAAGCCCUGGGUUAAUACCCUGGGGUCAUGACGGUACCGUAAGAAUAAGCACCGGCUAACUACGUGCCAGCAGCCGCCGUAA